AAAGGGUCCAGACAAUGUGAAGAUCAAAACUGAACAUAUUACUGAUGAAGAAACAAGGUCACAGGUGCAGUCGAUCUUACAGGCUGAGACUGAAUCACAAUUGCAAGAGGCAAUUGCACAGGCAGCCAGCUUAAUCAGUCUUGCUGGUCACAAUGUUCGCAUAACACUGGAAAACAAACAAGAGACUGCUUUGGACUUGGCACACUGGUAUGUCCUCCAGCGGACCCGUGCACCUUUUGAAAGGUUCAGAGAUGGUUUAACAUCUCUAGGUGUCCUAGAUGCUCUCCAGAGAUACCCUCUACAAACAAAAUGCCUUUUUGUGAAGGCUGAAAAGGGUUUAACAGCGACUGAUGUGGAGAAUCUCUUCGAGAUCAUUUACU